AGAAACAUUAGAAAUUAUAAUAGGUGGUGGAGGUUCCCCUGCUCCUUACCCUGUUCCCUCCCCUGAAACUCCAUGCCCACCUCCCCCACCUAAACCGCUUAGCCGUUUAGAGAGAGCUCGUCGCGUGCUUCUCAAUUUCAAAACCCUCAUUCUUGACCCGACAUGUUACACGCAAAACUGGAACGAGAACACUGACACGUGUGACUUCAGAGGGGUACGAUGUGCCUCAUAUCCAAACUCAGAAGAGCGAGCAGUUGCAGGACUGGACUUAAAUGGAGCAAGAGUGACGGGUCAAAACGGGUGCCCUUUGCCCGUCUCAUCUCUCUUGGGCGUGAACCAAAUACCCGAGUUAACAUUCUUCCACGUCAACUCUAACAGCUUCGCCGGCUCGGUCCCCACGGAUAUCACCAAAUUCCCCUUCUUCUUCGAGCUCGAUCUCAGUAACAACAAAAUCAAAGGCCAGUUUCCCAUCGACGCGAUUACGUCAAAAGUGCUAGUCUUCCUUGACCUCCGCUUCAAUCAACUCACCGGCCCAAUUCCCCCCCAACUCUUCCUGAAGGAUCUCGACGUCAUCUUCAUCAACAACAACCAAUUCACACAGUGUCUCCCCCAGAAUUUCGGCUACACACCGGCCCGCUACCUCACUUUCGCCAACAACAACCUCACCGGCCCCAUUCCAAAGAGCGUCGGUUACGCACCCAAC
rnacentral:lncRNA from 1 species